rnacentral:rRNA from 1 species
UAACGGUACCAAAAUCCGCGCUUAGUGUGAAGAUGUGGGGGCGCACUGACAGCCAGGAAGGUUGGCUUAGAAGCAGCCACCCUUUAAAGAAAGCGUAAUAGCUCACUGGUCAAGCGAACCCGCGCCGAAAAUAUAACGGGGCUCAAGCGUGGUACCGAAGUCGCGAGAGUGGCAACACUCGGUAGAGGAGUAUUCUCUGGGAGAUACGCGGUGUAUCGACAAGAGGCACUAACGGCCCAGAGAAGAGCUUAUGCAGGCAUGAGUAGCGAUAAACCGGGUCAAAACCCGGUCGCCGUAAGCCCAAGGUUUCCUGGGGAAGGAUAAGCCUCCCAUGGGUUAGUCGGGUCCUAAGCUGAGGCCGUGAGGCGUAGGUGAUGGCAAGCUGGUUAAUAUUCCAGCACCGUGGCGGUGUUUUAGCGAAGCAGGG